AACAUGUCCCUUUUUUGGCUCCUAUGGGUAGGUGUGGCCAGGGGGCUCUGCACGCUGCGCCAUCUGCAGGCACUGCCCCUGCAGCUCCCAUUGGAGCACUGGAGGGGACCAUUGGAGUGGGGCCAUUGGAACUCGUAGGACCCAAAGCGGGGCCAUGCCGCUGCUUCUGGGAGCCACGUGGAGUGGCCCCCGACCCUGCUUCC